rnacentral:lncRNA from 1 species
CAAGUCAUUUGAUUUGGCGACAUAAAACCCCUAUUAAAAUAAAAGUUUUCAUCUGAUUACUACUUUGAAAGAGACUUCUAAUUGUUGACUGUCUGCGUAAACGUGGCGUACUAGUGGACUAACAUUUUAUUUUUUUACCCUUUCGAUAUGGAAAAAUGUGACCAUCUUUUUAGUCGCUGUGUAUUUGUUCGAUAUUUAUUUCUUAGUGGAGAAAGCUUGUCCAUUUACACUGAGCCAAUGGAGGAAGUUCAAGGUCUUUGAAAAAUGGUUAUUAAUCUAGCCGACACUGGAAAGAGAACUAAAAGCUUAACCCUCUUGUUGGCUGUCUGGUGGGUAGUCUGGAUUGAGACGAACAAUUUUAUCUUUCACGAGCAAUCCACGGUUCCUUCUCUCUCGCUGAACCGUGUCAAACGUUUGUUAUCCGAGUGAAACAAGCCCUCUACUGUUUACUUACUCUUCUCUCUAGUCUCUUUAUCUUAAGUCCCUUUUCCUUUUUUUUUCCUUGCCUUCUAUUUCACUUCUUUUUUUUUUUUUU